UGCAAGUCGAACGAUGAAGCCGCUUCGGUGGUGGAUUAGUGGCGAACGGGUGAGUAACACGUGGGCAAUCUGCCCUUCACUCUGGGACAAGCCCUGGAAACGGGGUCUAAUACCGGAUAACACUCUGUCCCGCAUGGGACGGGGUUAAAAGCUCCGGCGGUGAAGGAUGAGCCCGCGGCCUAUCAGCUUGUUGGUGGGGUAAUGGCCUACCAAGGCGACGACGGGUAGCCGGCCUGAGAGGGCGACCGGCCACACUGGGACUGAGACACGGCCCAGACUCCUACGGGAGGCAGCAGUGGGGAAUAUUGCACAAUGGGCGAAAGCCUGAUGCAGCGACGCCGCGUGAGGGAUGACGGCCUUCGGGUUGUAAACCUCUUUCAGCAGGGAAGAAGCGAAAGUGACGGUACCUGCAGAAGAAGCGCCGGCUAACUACGUGCCAGCAGCCGCGGUAAUACGUAGGGCGCAAGCGUUGUCCGGAAUUAUUGGGCGUAAAGAGCUCGUAGGCGGCUUGUCACGUCGGAUGUGAAAGCCCGGGGCUUAACCCCGGGUCUGCAUUCGAUACGGGCUAGCUAGAGUGUGGUAGGGGAGAUCGGAAUUCCUGGUGUAGCGGUGAAAUGCGCAGAUAUCAGGAGGAACACCGGUGGCGAAGGCGGAUCUCUGGGCCAUUACUGACGCUGAGGAGCGAAAGCGUGGGGAGCGAACAGGAUUAGAUACCCUGGUAGUCCACGCCGUAAACGUUGGGAACUAGGUGUUGGCGACAUUCCACGUCGUCGGUGCCGCAGCUAACGCAUUAAGUU
rnacentral:rRNA from 2 species